CAGGAUCCACAUAAGAGUGAAAACAUAUGGUAUCUGUCUUUCUCUGUAUGGCUUAUUUCACUUAGCAUCACACUCUCCAGUUCCAUCCAUAUAUCACAUUUUUUAAACUGCUAUUUCUAUAAUCUGAGGUGUUCAUACGUUUUCCCAUUCAUAAAGUUAGUGAUCUUCAUAGCCAACUUGAUUCCCUGGCACAUUUCAAUACUUUUAACUUUGUAGACCACAGGCAGAUGUUUAAUGUGCAGAAGAAUGGAGUGGCUCUUAUUCUGGCUGUAGAUGUAAACAUCUUCUAAGUUGGUAUGUUUUGCACUUAAUUCUGGAUUUUUGCAUAAAAGACAGAUAGUAUGUUGUAAUCCUAGAUAAUGUAGCAUGCUUUCUUUACACUAGAUAAACGGUUGGCAGGGAAAUGAGCUACCUAAUUCCCGGGAGAGUGACUGAUUUAGGACUCCAGUGCUGUGCUCUGAAUCCACCAGCACCCAGUUCAUGUGCAUAUUUCCAAAGGCUGCUUGCUCCCAGGCAAUGACUGAGCACAGCAGAAGACUAUGACAGACCUGUUCCUAAAGGGUGACUUUGGCUGAAGGACUCCGUGAUGACCUUGAUGAAGUGUCUUAGAACUGCCCUGGAAAAGGAGGAGAAGAAACUAAUGAAGGAAGAGAUUAAGAAGUAGCCCCCAAGGUCACUGAGGAAAAGAAUAAAAUUUUACUCAUACCAAGAUACAGAGAGCUUAUAGAUAUUUACACAGUAUAAAGGUAUGUCAGAAUUAAUAUGGAACAACAAAGAAAUGAUUUCAAGUCUCUUGGUGCCAAAGCUAAUGCUUAAUUCAUUAUUCCUCAUUGGCUACAUACAGGAGAAGACAGGCUCACUGCCAACACCAUGACAGAUAAUAAACCAAAUAUAAG